UAUUAGUCAAUGCUCGCAAGAGUGAACUAGCUAACUGAAAUCAAAGGUGUGUCACUUUUGAUAAGGUAAAGGAAAAUAAAUGAUACUACUUUACUAUUAGUGUCGUCCAAGUACUCGUGCCAGAAGACUCGGUAAGGCGAGAGACGCAAACGUUAGUCGUCUUAAUCAGGCGUAAAGGGUUUGUAGGCGGCUUUAAGAAUGGAUCCUUUCUAAAUUACAUUAUUCUAAAUUUAGGGUAAAAUUCUUCGGAAGGAAAGGAGAAAUCAAUUAAAGCUAGAAUCAAAUAGAGGUCAAAUUAAAUAAUACUUGGUGUAAGAUUGGUAUCUUUAAAAACCAAGCGGAAUACUAACGGCGAAGGCUUUUUUCCAUUAAUGAUUGACGCUGAGAAACUAAGGUGAGGACAGAAAAAAGGAUUAGAGACCCUCGUAUUCCUCACUGUCAACGAUGAAUGGUAGUUACUAGAUAUUAUUGAUAUAUAUAAAUUUAAUAUAUAAACAUAUAACCAAAUCUAGAGGCGAUGUUAACACGAAAACCAUUCCGCCUUGUGAGUACGACUGCAAAGUUGAAAACAAAAAAAUUAGUCGGUUUCGGAGCAAACGAAGUGAAGCAUGUUAUUUAA
rnacentral:rRNA from 1 species